GCCUAAGAGAUUAGGUGUUCCCUUCGGGGACAGAAUGACAGGUGGUGCAUGGUUGUCGUCAGCUCGUGUCGUGAGAUGUUGGGUUAAGUCCCGCAACGAGCGCAACCCUUAUUGUCAGUUGCCAGCAUUAAGUUGGGCACUCUGGUAAGACUGCCGGUGACAAACCGGAGGAAGGUGGGGAUGACUUCAAAUCAUCAUGCCCCUUAUGACCUGGGCUACACACGUUGCUACUAAUGGACGAUACUACAAGUUCCUAGACCUAGUAGUUAAAUUAAUCUCUCAAAUUCUUUUCCAUCUCGGAAAGACCAGCUGUAACUCUUCAUGAAUAAAUAUCUAAAUUUUUAGUACAUAUCCAAAUCAUCAAUUUCCACUAUUUAUCUUCACAUCCACUCAUCUACCAAUUUCACUAACCUCUACCUAUACUUAUGU
rnacentral:rRNA from 1 species